UCGACUCAUUACAGCUGAUUA
rnacentral:piRNA from 1 species